CAAAGAAAAGUCAACAAAGGCUCUAACAUCAACAUGACCUUGGAUAAGGUGUACAUUUCAUCAGGACAGAUGACUCGAAUGGCCACCACCACCGAGGCCUUGCACACACCUUUGCAGUGAACGGCGAUGGCCCCUUCGGUGUUCUCACAGAUGUUCAGGAACCUUCGCACGAUGUUGUCACUGGGUGUGCUGCCAUCUAUGAAGAAGAGGUCAUAGUGCUCGAAGCCAGCGUCUGUGAAGCGCUUUGCCUCAUAAAUCUUUUUGUUUAGCCUCACAACUGCAGUCACAUUAUGCUUUUUGAAAUAAGGAAAGUAGGCUUCAGGGGCGUGAAGAGGAUAACCUAAAGGAACAAAGGAGCAGUAAGCAAAAGGCAUGCAUUUCAUCUUCCACAACCCAGAAAUACAAAACUCUCAACAAUGAAGUGUAUAAAUCUCAACAAAGCUUGGGAGGAAAGUGUGUUGUGUGAGAGAAGAGGUCACAGCAAGCUCCUACAAGCAUCAAUCUGCAUAACUGUAAGCACCACAGGAGGUUAAAAAGAAAACUUCUGUAAGUACUGAAAAUACAUCAUUAAAGUUCAAAAUCUCAACCUCUA
ensembl:lncRNA novel transcript